rnacentral:rRNA from 1 species
AUUGAACGCUGGCGGCAGGCCUAACACAUGCAAGUCGAACGAGUGGCGGACGGGUGAGUAAUGUCUGGGAAACUGCCUGAUGGCUGGGGAUAACUACUGGAAACGGUAGCUAAUACCGCAUACCAUCGGAUGUGCCCAGAUGGGAUUAGCUAGUGGGUGGGGUAACGGCUCACCUAGGCGCCGAUCCCUAGCGGGUCUGAGAGGAUGACCAGCCACACGGGAACUGAGACACGGUCCAGACGCCGACGGGAGGCAGCAGUGGGGAAUAUUGCACAAUGGGCGCAAGCCUGAUGGAGCCAUGCCGGGUGAAUGAUGAAGGCCUUCGGGUUGGAAAGUACUGUCAGCGGGGAGGCGUUACCCGCAGAGGAAGCACCGGCUAACUCCGUGCCAGCAGCCGCGGUAAUUC